rnacentral:tRNA from 1 species
GAGAGAUUAGUUAAUUUAUAACCUUAGUUUGUCAUGCUAAAAUAAUCCCUAAAGAUAUCUCUUA